AAUCUGCCUAUAACUGAGGGAUAGCCCAGAGAAAUUUGGAUUAAUACCUCAUAAUAUUGUUUUUUGGCAUCAUUAAACAAUUAAAACUUCGGUGGUUAUAGAUGAGCAUGCGUCCUAUUAGCUUGUUGGUAAGGUAACGGCUUACCAAGGCAACGAUAGGCAGGGGGCCUGAAAGGGUGAUCCCCCACACUGGUACUGAGACACGGACCAGACUCCUACGGGAGGCAGCAGUGAGGAAUAUUGCGCAAUGGAGGAAACUCUGACGCAGCCAUGCCGCGUGCAGGAAGACGGCCCUACGGGUUGUAAACUGCUUUUAUAUAGGAAGAAACCCCGAUACGUGUAUCGGCUUGACGGUACUAUAUGAAUAAGGACCGGCUAACUCCGUGCCAGCAGCCGCGGUAAUACGGAGGGUCCAAGCGU
rnacentral:rRNA from 1 species